AUUGAACGCUGGCGGCAUGCUUUACACAUGCAAGUCGAACGGUAACAGGCCUUCGGGUGCUGACGAGUGGCGAACGGGUGAGUAAUGCAUCGGAACGUACCCAGAGGUGGGGGAUAACGCAGCGAAAGCUGUGCUAAUACCGCAUGUGAUCUGAGGAUGAAAGCGGGGGACCGAGCAGCAAUGUUUGGCCUCGCGCCUUUGGAGCGGCCGAUGUCGGAUUAGCUAGUUGGUGGGGUAAAGGCCUACCAAGGCGACGAUCCGUAGCUGGUCUGAGAGGACGACCAGCCACACUGGGACUGAGACACGGCCCAGACUCCUACGGGAGGCGGCAAUGGGGAAUUUUGGACAAUGGGCGCAAGCCUGAUCCAGCAAUGCCGCGUGCGGGAAGAAGGCCUUCGGGUUGUAAACCGCUUUUGGCAGGAACGAAACGGUGUCCGCUAAUACCGGGCGCUAAUGACGGUACCUGCAGAAUAAGCACCGGCUAACUACGUG
rnacentral:rRNA from 1 species